GUGAAGCCAACCCCAUCUCCAGUCUCUGAUUUCCGGACUUUUCCUAGUUGCCAUAUCCACCACCGUCACUCACCCAAGCUCGAGUAGUCUGAUUAGCCAGUAAUCUUUCGUAGUAGUACUUCCCUUUGUAUGUUUCCAAGCUCAGGUCUUGAUUUCUGUGGUGGGAUUGUCUUGCUCCUCUUUCUUUCCAUUGCAUCCUAGAGCUACAAGCUUUUCCUCCGUCCCUUUUCCCUUUUCAUUCAGUAUGGAGGUGCCAGACUCCUCUCUCCCCUCUUGCCUGACUCACCUCCAUCCCUCAGGACCAGACUUCAGAACAAGAACAGGUGCAAAUGCAGAAUAUGAACGCACAGGGCAAGUUCACCGUUAGUUUCCACCCUAAGCAGUUUG
rnacentral:lncRNA from 1 species